rnacentral:rRNA from 1 species
CCUACGGGAGGCAGCAGUGAGGAAUAUUGGUCAAUGGGCGCGAGCCUGAACCAGCCAAGUCGCGUGAGGGAAGACGGUCCUAUGGAUUGUAAACCUCUUUUGUCGGGGGGCAAAAGACGCCACGCGUGGCGUUCCGAGAGUACCCGAAGAAAAAGCAUCGGCUAACUCCGUGCCAGCAGCCGCGGUAAUACGGAGGAUACGAGCGUUAUCCGGAUUUAUUGGGUUUAAAGGGUGCGCAGGCGGAAGGUCAAGUCAGCGGUAAAAUUGAGAGGCUCAACCUCUUCGAGCCGUUGAAACUGGUUGUCUUGAGUGAGUGAGAAGUAGGCGGAAUGCGUGGUGUAGCGGUGAAAUGCAUAGAUAUCACGCAGAACUCCGAUUGCGAAGGCAGCAUACCGGCGCUCAACUGACGCUCAUGCACGAAAGUGUGGGUAUCGAACAGGAUUAGAUACCCUUGUAGUC